GACGAACGCUGGCGGCGUGCCUAAUACAUGCAAGUCGAACGAGAGCACCCGGUGCUUGCACUGGUCAAUCUAGUGGCGAACGGGUGAGUAACACGUGGGUAACCUGCCCAUCAGAGGGGGAUAACAUCCGGAAACGGAUGCUAAAACCGCAUAGGUCUUCGAACCGCAUGGUUUGAAGAGGAAAAGAGGCGCAAGCUUCUGCUGAUGGAUGGACCCGCGGUGCAUUAGCUAGUUGGUGAGGUAACGGCUCACCAAGGCCGUGAUGCAUAGCCGACCUGAGGGGGUGAUCGGCCACAUUGGAACUGAGACACGGCCCAAACUCCUACGGGAGGCAGCAGUAGGGAAUCUUCCGCAAUGGACGCAAGUCUGACGGAGCAACGCCGCGUGAGUGAAGAAGGUUUUCGGAGCGUAAAACUCUGUUGUUAGAGAAGAACAAGUGCUAGAGUAACUGUUAGCGCCUUGACGGUAUCUAACCAGAAAGCCACGGCUAACUACGUG
rnacentral:rRNA from 1 species